AUUGAACGCUGGCGGCAUGCUUUACACAUGCAAGUCGAACGGCAGCACGGACUUCGGUCUGGUGGCGAGUGGCGAACGGGUGAGUAAUACAUCGGAACGUGCCCAGUUGUGGGGGAUAACUACUCGAAAGAGUAGCUAAUACCGCAUGAGAACUGAGGUUGAAAGCAGGGGAUCGUAAGACCUUGCGCAACUGGAGCGGCCGAUGGCAGAUUAGGUAGUUGGUGGGAUAAAAGCUUACCAAGCCGACGAUCUGUAGCUGGUCUGAGAGGACGACCGGCCACACUGGGACUGAGACACGGCCCAGACUCCUACGGGAGGCAGCAGUGGGGAAUUUUGGACAAUGGGCGAAAGCCUGAUCCAGCAAUGCCGCGUGCAGGAUGAAGGCCUUCGGGUUGUAAACUGCUUUUGUACGGAACGAAAAGCUUCGGGCUAAUACCCUGGAGCCAUGACGGUACCGUAAGAAUAAGCACCGGCUAACUACGUGCCAGCAGCCGCAGUAAAAC
rnacentral:rRNA from 1 species